CCUUCUUUCUCAUGUGCAAACAAAUUUUUGUAUGAUAUUUUUUGCAUUAAUCUGAGUUGUGUCACCUCCUUUCUAAGUUCUUUAGUUGUAUAUUAAAUAUAGUUUGAAAAAGAUUUCAAAUUUGAUUUGAAUUCAUGAUAAGAUCAAAGGCUAUUUGAAGCUAGACCAGAUUAUCCAAACUCUACAUGGGACACCACCAUUAAGAAGGGCUAGUUUUUGCACACCAAACCACUUAAAAUUUGGUGUGAGAAAUUCUCAAAGAGGGUGUGAGAGAUUUGAGAAAGAGGGGUGGGCGUUCGUGUAUGAGAAAAAGAGCAAGAAGAUCCUCUUUGGGGCGUGAGAUCUAGGGCUGGGUUCUAGGGUUUUCUAGUUUUUAUUUUGUGAGAGAGAAAAAUAAAAAAAAAAUAUUUUUCUUCUUCCAUGCCAUCUCCUCCUUAAAAAGCUCUCUCUUCUGAUCUAGAAGUAUCUAUUUGAUCUAAAGAAUAGGAUCUCUAUCAGCCAUCCAGAUCCUUCGUCACGAGCUAGCACUCCUGGGAAGGAUGAUUUGUUCGAUGUUUCGAGUGGAUCACUUGUAGAGGCCGGAUACGCUGUGCGGCUGCUCG
rnacentral:lncRNA from 1 species